UACGUAAAAGACUAGUGUUAGUCAUCUUUAUUAGGUUUAAAGGGUACCUAGACGGUAAAUUAAACCUUAAUAAGGUACUUUUUUACUAGAGUUUUAUAAGAAAAGGGGAGAACUUUUGGAGUAGAGAUAAAAUUUUAUUAUACUAAAAAGGACUGAUAAAGGCGAAGGCUGCCUUUUAUGUAAAAACUGACGUUGAGGGACGAAGGCUUGGGUAGCAAUAAGG
rnacentral:rRNA from 1 species